GGCCGACUGCUCGCCCUCCGCACCCCGCACUGCGCCAGCCUGGCCUCUCUAGCCUCAGCUCCGCAGCUCUGCACGUCCCAGCUCCUGCAGCUGCUUCAGCGCCAGACAGAGUUCUGUGAAGCCCAGCUGACCGUCAUUUGUGUUACGUUCUGUAAAAACAAUGGUGUGGACCGCUGGGAGUUUGACCGUGCUCCAGCAGCAGAGACCCUGGACUUCCUGGACUUCCAUGUUCUUCCUGGGACUUGGGAAGUAUACCAUGCACUACCACCACUACCGUUCCUGACUGUGCACACACACACCGCCAGACAGUCCUUUCUUCAGGCAUGCAUUCUAGCCAGCCACCGUACCCUGUAGUCUGCCUCUCAGGGUCUCUUAAACCUCUCCACUUUCAUUCAAUCCAUGGACUUUGGGCUGCCUGGGCAUCCACUCACUCAUCUGACUCACCUGUCCCUGGUCUCCUUCCAAUCGGCUCCAAUCACCGGCCAGUCUGAGCAAAACAAGAUGUUUUAUUCCUCUCUACUCAUGAGUGGUCUUUGCUUGGAUUAGAGUUGGAGUCCUGGUGUCACCCAGCACAGGAUGGCACUGUACUAGAUGCUGCUGCCUGAGGACACACUGGACCUAACAGGGAUUUUCAGACCUAUUUUUUACCCUCACCUUUCAAACCAGUUAACUAGGUCCCGAGCCUUGCCAAGGUAAAUCAAGAGGAAUCUGGAAUGCUGUUGCCUUUUUAAGCUCUGGUUUCCACGAAGUAAAAGGAGCCACAGUGUCUGGGAGGCUCUGCCCUGUUAGGUGGAUCCCACCAGACUUCUGGAAAAAGAUGCUUGCUGUUCACAAGCCCAGUAUGCGCCCAAGUGCGGAGCAGUGUGUUCAGAGCCCGGCCUCUAGUUCUCCAUUUGUGGAGAGCGUCCAGCUGUUUGUGGUAGCAUGGGACUUGUUCAGGAGACUCCAGGCAUGCUCAUGUCCUGCUUGUGCAAAGAUGGAGGAAAUUGCAGGAAGUCUCAAACUAAACAGCAGAACAAAACAACAGCCGACCGAUCAGCAACCCCUGGAAGAUGGUCAGGAGAAAGGCCGGGCGCAGUGCGAAGAUGCCGCUGAAACCCAGACAGCGAAACUGCACAGGGUGGAAACAGGACAAAGGCGGCGGUAUUGCCAAGUGGAAGGAGGAAUUUGUGUGCUCCUGAUGUCCCCAGCUCCAGCCAUUGGUCAGAUAACUGCAGAUACGGCCACGGCUCCUGGCUUGGACAGAAUGCCAGGCUUUCCUCUUCAGAUCUUACCUACCGGAAGAGAGACCAACGGGCUGUUCGGAGACGCACUCCUCUGCUGCAGUUGCUGAGAUGGGGGUGCAGGCUCGGCCCUCCCCAUCUCCACUCUGUCUUCGUGUCUCACAGCCUUGCUCAGAGCCUCUCAACACACAGGAUCACAGAACCCUGACUACCUGAAAAAAAAAUCCAGAAAAAUGAACAAUAGUCUUCAGAAUCCUGCCCUCCUUAUAUAUAGUAACAUGCCUUCCUUAUUUCAUCAUCAUCAUCACCAUCGUUAUUAUUUUCUGGUUUGCUUUUUGACUGGUCUCAACAUUGCUAUGUAGCCAGCGAGGACCUGAACUGAUCCUUCCGCCUUCCCCUCCCAAACACUGGCAUUGCAGGUGUUAGCCACUAUGUCUGGUUCAACUCGUAUUUAUUUGUUAAAUUGGAUUUUAAGAACCAGAGAGCAUCUCAACAAAGAGUGCAGCACUUCUUGUGAGCACACUGUGGUUUUACAGCUCUUAAUCAAAAUUCAGUAUUUUCUAUUUUUCCCUUUGGGAGAAAGUCCUCUGUGCUCAAGUGUAGACCACCCAGGGUGUGUCUUGGCUCUUUGAAGCCUUUGAGGUGUAUUACAAGAGCCUAGCCAUCAAUCCUGGCUUAGACCGAAAUGUCUAUCCUGGUACAUUUUGGCUGCCCCGUCAGUGGUAGAAUAUAUUAUAAUAUGGAUCACCUCCAUUUCAACCACAAUCUUCCCCUGCCCCCCAGCCCCACCCCCGCUGGACUGUGUGAUGAGAAAUCAAUAGCAUUGUGUUAAACUAUUAGAAACCUACAAAUUUGCUUUGUACUUUUUAUAAUUUUCCAUAUUAGCAACUUGAGCUUCUACUAGAGUGUUGAGUAAAUUUAGUCUUAGUAGGUGUGAUAGUUACAACUGAUUCUCAGUUUGACAGGAUCUAAAUCACCUUGGAGACAAGCUUCUGGACAAGCCUGUGAGGGAUCAUCUAGAUGAGCUUUGCCUCUGGGCAUGCCUGAGAUGGGCUACCUUGAUUGGGUUGGUUCAGGUGGGAAGACUCACCUGUACUGGUGGCCCCAUUCCCUAGGCUGCAGUGACUGCACAAAGAGAAAGUCAGCUGAGCAGCCGCAUUCAUCACCCUCUGCUUCCUGCCUGCAAAGGAAAUGUUCCUAGCUGCCUCGAGCUCCUGCCUCCAUAAUGUAGCUGGCUGGACCUCCUACCUCCGUGACAUCCCACCACAAUGGAUUUCACUCUUGAAUUAGGAGGCAAAAACAGCCCCUUUCUCUCUUAUGUUACUUAUGUUGGGCAUUUUAUCAUAGCACUAGGAAAAGUAACUAAUACAGCAGGAUAUUGAAGAGGGUCCUGCACAGACUGGGGUCAACUCAUUUCUGCACAGUCAACCUUUUCUUGAAUGACAGUGAAGAUGGUUCUGGAGUUUGGAUCUUUACCUUUAAUGGGCAGGGCAUGUGCAGAGCAGGCAUGUGCAGAGGGCACUGGAAAUCUGAACAGGUCUGAAGUUUUGGGGACCCAUCUGUGGCUAGUUCUCUGUUGCUGUAAUAAAAUAACUGAGUACAUCAAAUCAAAUGAGGAGUGCUUAUUUUGGUUCAUGGUGUUGGCCAGUGAGUGAGGGAGUAAUUGACAGAUGAGCGUUAAUCCCAUUCCUCAUUUACCAUUCACCUCAUGGUGGCUAGGAAGCCAAAGACAGAAAGGAAGGGGCCAGAGUCUCAGUAGCUCCUACAAAUGCAUACUCCUACCCAUGGUGAUCUCUCUUUUCCUGGACCUCACCUCCUAAAGAUUCUAACACUUCCCAGUUGAGCCACAGGCUGGUGAGCACACCUUGGCCACAGGGCAUUUGGGGGCCAUUUAAGACCCAAAGUGUCACACUGGCCCAGAACACAGAGACACUUGCUUCAUACUGUGCUAUCUAAUACCAGAAACAGAGAUGAGGGCACAUUGGUGUUGAUGGGUAGGGAAGGUGAACUGUAGUGAAGACAUUAUUAGUCUCUGUGGCUUUCUGUCACAGGGCCAGAGUCCCAAUGGCAGGCAGGUACCUAGGUCAAGUAGAGUCACUGUCCUGAUCUCUAUGCCCUGCUCCUUCUCAUGAGCAUGGAGUGGGUCAAGAAUGUAGUACAUUCCAUUCCCAAGCCCAAGGUUGCAUGAACAUUUGCUCCCUUAGGGACGGCUAAGUGAUCCAUGGCUGCCUAGAUGACUUGGCUGGAGCUCUAGCUGGACUCCAUCUGUGGGCAUGGAGGCAUGGUCUUUCCUGGGUGGUAAUGUCAAGUGAUAGUCAAGAGAGAACGUUGUGGUAAUAGGACCAGUUUACAAGCAAAGGUGUAAAGAUCUGUAAUGAAUACCUUUGUUGGGAUUGCUAGUAUUAAUCCUGUAAUUACAGCACUUGUGAGGGGCAAGUAAACAGACUGGGAGUUCAAAGCCACCCUCAGCUACACAUGAGAGGCCUUGUUUCAAUGCUCCCCUCCAAACAAACAAAACUUAAAAAAUACUAAAAUUAGUAAUUGGAAAACUGACUGGAAAUUAUGUGGGAUCAGCAGUGUUGACAACAUUGUCUAAAGGUGAGGAUUCCAAAACAAAGAGAAAAGGACAGCGGAGGAAGAACCGCUCUUGUCUCACAUCCCCCUGAAAUCACAGGACAUUUACUGUUUAGCUUCUGUCUUCCGGCGCACACUGUUUCCCUAUUGUUGAGAGGGUACAUGCCUCAUAUGCAUUCAAGUAAAUUCAAGUAUAAGUGAUUGACAGAUGAGCAUUAAUGCCAUGCUUCAUUGGUUGUCCUCCGCAUGGAGCGUAGGCCUCAAAAUGCACAGGAAGCUUUCCGAACACUUACUUUUAAAGAAUGCUAGUCACAUUUUUAUUUGUUUACCAUAUGUAUGCAUGCACAAACAUACACACACACACUGUGUGGAAGUCAGAAGACAGUUGGCAAGAGUCACUUCUCUACUUCCACUGUGCGGUCUGGGGAUUGAACUCAGGUCAUCAGGUCUUUAGGUUUGGAGGCAAGCAUCUUUACUCACUAAGCCAUUUUGUCAGCCCCCAAACACUUGCCCAUCUGCUUAGAGAAUGAACCAACCUCUACCCACAACUCUUUCUUUCUCCACGUUGCCCUCACCUUCCUUCUGUGACCGCCCCAUCUUGGGUCCUGGAUCACUCGGUGGAAGAGGGAAGAGAACGAUGCCGGAAGAGGUCCUUUUCAGGAUGCAAGCAAGGGUCCCGAGGCUCAGCAGUCACUCCUCCACUCGGAGUGACAGGUUGUUUGUGAGAGCUCCUGGGCUCAGUUUACCCACGUGUGUACUGAGUUAAUAGCACCCGCCUCUCCCUCCCACAGGAACAACAUAGGGUGAUGCUGGAACACGCACCUUGGUCUUCAGAUGAAAGCCACAUAUAAACCCCAGCUGUUAUUAUAGGCUGUGGCCUGUGGGAGGGGCCAUGGAAGCUACUGUGUUGGAAAGUGCAAUGCUGGACCCAGGGACUUCUUGGCACCAGGACCUGGGAGCAAUCUGUGGGAAUUGAGAUCUGUACAUUAAUCAAAGGACUUAAAAAGAAAAUCGGCA